rnacentral:rRNA from 1 species
CACAAGCGGUGGAGCAUGUGGUUUAAUUCGAUGCAACGCGCAGAACCUUACCAGCUCUUGACAUGGGAAGUAUGGGGCCGUGAAAGCGGUUCCUUCAGUUCGGCUGGCUUCCACACAGGUGCUGCAUGGCUGUCGUCAGCUCGUGUCGUGAGAUGUUGGGUUAAGUCCCGCAACGAGCGCAACCCUCAUCCUCAGUUGCCAUCAGGUUAAGCUGGGCACUCUGAGGAAACUGCCGGUGACAAGCCGGAGGAGGGCGGGGAUGACGUCAAGUCCUCAUGGCCUUUAUGGGCUGGGCUACACACGUGCUACAAUGGCGGAUACAGUGGGACGCGAAGGGGCAACCCUGGGCCAAUCUCAAAAAUCCGUCUCAGUUCAGAUUGCACUCUGCAACUCGAGUGCAUGAAGGUGGAAUCGCUAGUAAUCGCGGAUCAGCACGCCGCGGUGAAUACGUUCCCGGGCCUU